CGGGAAUAGCUCAAAUUUUAAAUCUGGCCGGCGUGGUCGGUCCGAGUUGUAAUUUAGAGAAGCGUCUUCCGCGCUGGACCGUGCACAAGUCUCCUGGAAUGGAGCGUCAUAGAGGGUGAGAAUCCCGUCUUUGGCACGGACUCCCGGUGCUUUGCGAUGCGCUCUCGAC
rnacentral:rRNA from 1 species